GGCUACAAAAAAGUCAAAUACUGUACAUCCUUCCAGAAAGUAUGCCACUUUGACUAUGGAGCCUCGUUUUUGUGUAUUUGACAUGUAAAUGAAAAUGAGACUACAGCCUAUAACCAAGAUGAUAUACUUUCUGGAAGCAUGUAUUAAUUAAAAUAUAGUUGUUCAAAAUUAAUCAAGCUUUAAUUGUAUGUUCAGUUCAGGCACAGAUUUUCUGGGGGGGGGGUGGUGCCCCCCAGAGGCAUUUGGCAACGCCCCUAAAAGUUUUUGCACCCCGCAAAUUAUAUAUAUUUUGAUUUGAUAGUUUCAUAUUUGAUUAUUCUUACUACUAAAUUUGUAAAAUUACCAAUAUUAUGGUCUCAGAUCUCGCCAUGC